CCAGACUCCUACGGGAGGCAGCAGUCGGGAAUAUUGCGCAAUGGAGGAAACUCUGACGCAGUGACGCCGCGUAUAGGAAGAAGGUUUUCGGAUUGUAAACUAUUGUCGUGAGGGAAGAAAUUGACAGUACCUCAGGAGGAAGCUCCGGCUAACUACGUGCCAGCAGCCGCGGUAAUACGUAGGUGGCAAGCGUUAUCCGGAUUUACUGGGUGUAAAGGGCGUGUAGGCGGGGACGCAAGUCAGAUGUGAAAACCACGGGCUCAACCUGUGGCCUGCAUUUGAAACUGUGUUUCUUGAGUACUGGAGAGGCAGACGGAAUUCCUAGUGUAGCGGUGAAAUGUGUAGAUAUUAGGAGGAACACCAGUGGCGAAGGCGGUCUGCUGGACAGCAACUGACGCUGAGGCGCGAAAGCGUGGGGAGCAAACAGGAUUAGAUACCCUAGUACCC
rnacentral:rRNA from 1 species